rnacentral:rRNA from 1 species
UGGGGAAUAUUGCACAAUGGGCGCAAGCCUGAUGCAGCCAUGCCGCGUGUGUGAAGAAGGCCUUCGGGUUGUAAAGCACUUUCAGCGGGGAGGAAGGCGGUGAGGUUAAUAACCUCACCGAUUGACGUUACCCGCAGAAGAAGCACCGGCUAACUCCGUGCCAGCAGCCGCGGUAAUACGGAGGGUGCAAGCGUUAAUCGGAAUUACUGGGCGUAAAGCGCACGCAGGCGGUCUGUCAAGUCGGAUGUGAAAUCCCCGGGCUCAACCUGGGAACUGCAUUCGAAACUGGCAGGCUAGAGUCUUGUAGAGGGGGGUAGAAUUCCAGGUGUAGCGGUGAAAUGCGUAGAGAUCUGGAGGAAUACCGGUGGCGAAGGCGGCCCCCUGGACAAAGACUGACGCUCAGGUGCGAAAGCGUGGGGGGCAAACAGGAUUAGAUACCCUGGUAGUCCACGCUGUAAACGAUGUCGAUUUGGAGGUUGUGCCCUUGAGGCGUGGCUUCCGGAGCUAACGCGUUAAAUCGACCGCCUGGGGAGUACGGCCGCAAGGUUA